UACAGAGGUCCCAAGCGUUGUUCGGAUUCAUUGGGCGUAAAGGGCGCGUAGGCGGCCCGCUAAGUCGAACGUGAAAUCCCCGAGCUCAACUCGGGAACUGCGUCCGAUACUGGUGGGCUUGAAUCCGGGAGAGGGAUGCGGAAUUCCAGGUGUAGCGGUGAAAUGCGUAGAUAUCUGGAGGAACACCGGUGGCGAAGGCGGCAUCCUGGACCGGCAUUGACGCUGAGGCGCGAAAGCGUGGGGAGCGAUCCGG
rnacentral:rRNA from 1 species